UACGUAGGGUGCGAGCGUUGUCCGGAAUUAUUGGGCGUAAAGAGCUCGUAGGCGGUGUGUCGCGUCGGUCGUGAAAACUUGGGGCUUAACCCUGAGCUUGCGGUCGAUACGGGCAUCACUGGAGUUCGGCAGGGGAGACUGGAAUUCCUGGUGUAGCGGUGAAAUGCGCAGAUAUCGCUUGGAACGCCGACGGUGAAAACAGCUCGCUGGGGACUCGCUGACGCUGAGACACGAAAGCCAGGGGAGCGAACGGG
rnacentral:rRNA from 1 species